rnacentral:rRNA from 1 species
UAGGGAAUCUUCCGCAAUGGACGCAAGUCUGACGGAGCAACGCCGCGUGAGUGAAGAAGGAUUUCGGUUCGUAAAACUCUGUUGUUAGAGAAGAACAGCGCAUAGAGUAACUGUUAUGCGUGUGACGGUAUCUAACCAGAAAGCCACGGCUAACUACGUGCCAGCAGCCGCGGUAAUACGUAGGUGGCAAGCGUUGUCCGGAUUUAUUGGGCGUAAAGCGAGCGCAGGCGGUCAAUUAAGUCUGAUGUGAAAGCCCCCGGCUCAACCGGGGAGGGUCAUUGGAAACUGGUUGACUUGAGUGCAGAAGAGGAGAGUGGAAUUCCAUGUGUAGCGGUGAAAUGCAUAGAUAUAUGGAGGAACACCAGUGGCGAAGGCGACUCUCUGGUCUGUAACUGACGCUGAGGUUCGAAAGCGUGGGUAGCAAACAGG